rnacentral:rRNA from 1 species
AUUGAACGCUGGCGGCAGGCCUAACACAUGCAAGUCGAGCGGAUGAAGGGAGCUUGCUCCUGGAUUCAGCGGCGGACGGGUGAGUAAUGCCUAUGAAUCUGCCUGGUAGUGGGGGAUAACGUCCGGAAACGGGCGCUAAUACCGCAUACGUCCUGCGGGAGAAAGUGGGGGAUCUUCGGACCUCACGCUAUCAGAUGAGCCUAGGUCGGAUUAGCUAGUUGGUGGGGUAAAGGCCUACCAAGGCGACGAUCCGUAACUGGUCUGAGAGGAUGAUCAGUCACACUGGAACUGAGACACGGUCCAGACUCCUACGGGAGGCAGCAGUGGGGAAUAUUGGACAAUGGGCGAAAGCAUGAUCCAGCCAUGCCGCGUGUGUGAAGAAGGUCUUCGGAUUGUAAAGCACUUUAAGUUGGGAGGAAGGGCAGUAAGUUAAUACCUUGCUGUUUUGACGUUACCAACAGAAUAAGCACCGGCUAACUUCGUG